CUGUAGUACUGCUGUGCUGGUCUGUAGUAGUCCUGUGCUGGUCUGUAGUACUGCUGUGCUGGUCUGUAGUAGUCCUGUGCUGGUCUGUAGUAGUCCUGUACUGGUCUGUAGUAGUCCUGUGCUGGUCUGUAGUAGUCCUGUGCUGGUCUGUAGUAGUCCUGUGCUGGUCUGUAGUAGUCCUGUACUGCUCUGUACUGCUCUGUGUCCAGGGCUCUACAGUGUCUGCGGUAGGUAGUCCUGUGCUGGUCUGUAGUAGUCCUGUGCUGCUCUGUAGUAGUCCUGUGCUGGUCUGUAGUAGUCCUGUGCUGCUCUGUAGUAGUCCUGUACUGCUCUGUACUGCUCUGUGUCCAGGGCUCUACAGGGUCU
rnacentral:lncRNA from 1 species